rnacentral:rRNA from 1 species
GACGAACGCUGGCGGCGUGCUUAACACAUGCAAGUCGAACGGAAAGGCCCUGCUUUUGUGGGGUGCUCGAGUGGCGAACGGGUGAGUAACACGUGAGUAACCUGCCCUUGACUUUGGGAUAACUUCAGGAAACUGGGGCUAAUACCGGAUAGGAGCUCCUGCUGCAUGGUGGGGGUUGGAAAGUUUCGGCGGUUGUGGAUGGACUCGCGGCUUAUCAGCUUGUUGGUGGGGUAGUGGCUUACCAAGGCUUUGACGGGUAGCCGGCCUGAGAGGGUGACCGGCCACAUGGGGACUGAGAUACGGCCCAGACUCCUACGGGAGGCAGCAGUGGGGAAUAUUGCACAAUGGGCGGAAGCCUGAUGCAGCAACGCCGCGUGCGGGAUGACGGCCUUCGGGUUGUAAACCGCUUUCGCCUGUGACGAAGCGGGAGUGACGGUAAUGGGUAAAGAAGCACCGGCUAACUACGUG